rnacentral:rRNA from 1 species
GACAGAGGGUGCAAACGUUGUUCGGAAUUACUGGGCGUAAAGCGUGUGUAGGCGGCUACGUAAGUCGGAUGUGAAAGCCCCAGGCUCAACCUGGGAGUGCACUCGAUACUGCGUAGCUUGAGUAUCGGAGAGGUUGGUGGAAUUCUCGGUGUAGAGGUGAAAUUCGUAGAUAUCGAGAGGAACACCGGUGGCGAAGGCGGCCAACUGGACGAAUACUGACGCUGAGACACGAAAGCGUGGGGAGCAAACAGG